CGCGUAGGCGGAAUAGUAAGUUAGAGGUGAAACCAUGGGCUUAACUCAUGGCCUGCCUUUGAAACUGCUGUUCUUGAGUGCGGUAGAGGGAAGUAGAAUUCCUGGUGUAGCGGUGAAAUGCGUAGAUAUCAGGAAGAACACCGGUAGCGAAGGCGGCUUCCUGGCCCGCAACUGACGCUGAGGCGCGAAAGCGUGGGGAGCAAACA
rnacentral:rRNA from 1 species